GAGGGACUAAGCUAAACUUGGAGACCACCCUUCCCGCGGAGAUGACAAAAGCCUUAGGCGUUUCCUUGCAGAUCUGGGGUGACUGACACCCACCCUCCACCGAGAGUCAGGGAAAGCUUGCUCACCAUGGUUGCUGCUUCGCGGCUGCUGGGCGGAUGGCGGAGGCGAGGAGGAGGUGUUGCUUCUUACAGCGCGACUCUUAGGCGGUCGAUGUAAGAGAACCUGCGGCACUUGGGCGGAUGCGGCUCCUUAUAUAGAGCUCGGUCACCAUGGGGAUGGGCCAGGGCCUUUUCCUGUUGGUCCAGACCCCUCUGUCUGCCCAGAGAAGCCGUGACAGGAGAGUGGUGAUUGGUGCAAGCGACAUGGUAUGAGGAAAUGCAACCCCCAUCAUCUUCGUUAUUUUCUAUCAGAGGGACUAGAGAUGACUGCUUCCAACAUGGUUCCCUGAGCCCUGCAGGAAGGAGUCUGAUAGAGACAGCCUGUUCAGGGCUGAGUGUUCCAAGAUCCCUCUCUGCACAAUGUCUGGCUGUAUUUGUGUUCCCAUCUGCUGCAGGAGGAAGCUUCUCUGAUGAUGGCAGAGCAAGUUACCCUUCCCAACUGUAUAGGGGAAAGUGGAAAUCAACAGCAAUGCUCCCAGAAGACUGGCAAUUACAGAAAUAUUUAAGAUGAUUUAAAGUCCCAAGUCUGGAGGCUGUGGGUGCAGCCCAGCCCAUAAACUGCUUAACCAGCUCAAACCGCAGCACCAGGUAAAACAAACCUGUUGACAGGUACACUGGGCAGAGGGAGAAGCAGAAAUACAAGGUCUUCCUCUGAUACAAAUUGAGCUUGAAGCUUGCCUGGGAAACAUAUGGCUGAGAGAGAAAGAUAGAGAUAGAGAUAGAGAAAGAGAGAGAGAUGGAACCCAUACUCCAUCCCUGAACCCCACAUACAGGAGUAGUCUAACUUCUGCAUGAGCUGUGGCAUGUGUACAUAUGUAAAAAAAUUAAAAAUCAAUACAAUACCCGAGUCAGAUACACAGCUCCAUUUCCUUCUGCUUCUCCUUCACAAUCGUAAAAUACAAUAGGAUUGAGAAGAAAUUAGAAUAUGUGUUCUUGACCAAAUUUAGAAGCCAAAUGGUCAGACAGACUCGUGUGCAGCUUUUCUUCUACACAUAAAUAAAUAUACAGAUAGAUUCAAAACCUACUCUGGGGGGCCGCAGAGGUGCUUAGUGGUUAGAGUACUAGCUGCUUUCCAGAGGCCCUGAGUUCAGUUUCCAGCAUCCACACCUGACGACUUCCAACUCCACGGUCUCAUGUCUUCUACCAGCCUCCACAGACAUGUGAAGAUAUGUGGUACGCCCUCACACGCACAUACACAUAAGUACAAAUAAAAACAAAUGUUAGAAAGGCGAAAUAAAACUGGGUGCUUGAUUCCAGUGCUCAGGAGGCAGAGGCAGGCCUCCUGGGAGCUCGAGGCCAGCCUGGUCUACAGAGUGUAA